rnacentral:lncRNA from 1 species
CACUCAGCUUUCUGAAAUGGUGUCCCACCACAAGGACUGGAGAAGGGGUCUUCCUCUGCCACCCGGGCUGGAGUGUGCAGCAGCAUGACCAUGGCUCACUGCAGCUUCAACCUCUCAGGAUUAGGUAAACCUCAGGUUCUCCUCCUGCCUUUUGCUAAGUAUAUGUCUUGAUGACAAGCCUUCUGCUAAUGAGCUGUGUUUCUGGACCGAUCAUGGUAGAAGUCAAUUGAAGUGUCCCUCACUUGGGGUUUCUUAAGGGACUCUCCGUCUGUCGCCCAGGCUGGAGUGCAGUGGCACAAUCUCGGCUCACUGCAAGCUCUGCCUCCCAGGUUCACGCCAUUUUCCUGCCUCAGUCUCCCGAGUAGCUGCACUGAUGAGGAAACUGAAACAGAAAAUCCAGAGUAAAUUCCACCAGGCCACACAGCAAGGUCUGAUAGAGCCAGGAGAGACUUUAUGAAAUCCAGACUCUCACACUAAUGCUCUAUCAGCUAGACCUCCAUGUGAGUCUCCCCAAUGUAGGUAGGAAGCACUUUCCCUAAAAUGCUCAUAAAGCAAAUCAGAGCAAUGCUUCAUUUCAUGUGAUUUCUAAUUUGAAAUGCAAACAAUUGCCAAUUUGUUUGACUUGUAUUUAUAAUUAUUUCCUUGUGAAUUACUCAUCACUAAAUGCUUUAUAAAUAUUU